GACGAACGCUGGCGGCGUGCUUAACACAUGCAGGUCGAACGGAAAGGCCCUGCUUUUGUGGGGUGCUCGAGUGGCGAACGGGUGAGUAACACGUGAGUAACCUGCCCUUGACUUUGGGAUAACUUCAGGAAACUGGGGCUAAUACCGGAUAGGAGCUCCUGCUGCAUGGUGGGGGUUGGAAAGUUUCGGCGGUUGGGGAUGGACUCGCGGCUUAUCAGCUUGUUGGUGGGGUAGUGGCUUACCAAGGCUUUGACGGGUAGCCGGCCUGAGAGGGUGACCGGCCACAUUGGGACUGAGAGACGGCCCAGACUCCUACGGGAGGCAGCAGUGGGGAAUAUUGCACAAUGGGCGGAAGCCUGAUGCAGCAACGCCGCGUGCGGGAUGACGGCCUUCGGGUUGUAAACCGCUUUCGCCUGUGACGAAGCGUGAGUGACGGUAAUGGGUAAAGAAGCACCGGCUAACUACGUG
rnacentral:rRNA from 1 species